CUCAGUGGUUCCGGCGCCUGCCUGGCAAGCUCAAAGUCCGGAGUUUGAUCCCCAGUAGCAAACAAAACAAAACAAAACGAACAAAAAAUCUACUAUCUAUUGAACAAAGCAUUGAACCAGGCACAGUGUUUUGUAUUUUGCAUUUAUUAUCUCGUCUAAUGCUAAUAGCAACUUCCGGCAAGAAAACUGAAUAAACAAAAAUUGGAUAACCAAGUUACCCAGAUGAUGAAUGCACUCACCUAUGGUCUCGUGAUCAGCAGUCAGAGGGAGACAAGGCCAAGACCUGAUUUACAGAUGGCUCUGCACAUUAUGAAGGCACCACCAAAAAGUGGACAGCAGCAGCACUACAGCUCCUUUCCAGGACAUCCCUGAAGGACAAUAGUGAAGGGAAAUCAUCAUGGCUUCUAGUCCGGACCUACUGAGCAAACCCUUCAGCUUUCUGACAUGGACACACACAGGACUCUACACUGAGCUCCAGACCUUCAGCCUUCAACUGGAUCCUCUGACUCUCCAGUUACAGAUGACGCUUUUGCUAUCUUCUACCCUUGACUCCACAGGCAGCCACUAUGAAAAAUGUGAUAGAAAUAAGAGACCCAGAGGAGAUCUGAUAUUCACUAAGCUAUAUGGACCAUGUGAUAGAAAUACUCAGAAUGGAUGGAGAUUAGGAGGAGACCUUCUCCUGAUCAGGCUGUAAACCUAAGAAAAACUUCAGUCCCCGUGGUGCUUCAUCCAACAUGACACUUCAGCAAUAGAGAAAUAAAUAAAUGAGGUUCCUGGCCAAUUGGGCCUAAGAAAACACCUUGUUUCCAGGGCCAGAAUGUGACUAGAGUGGUCACAGAAGAUACUUCAGGGUGUUGACUGUCAAGCUCAUGAGAAGUUCAUCAGUGUCACAGUUGAGGUGAGUUCCUCAGCAGAGGACCACAAAGAAACUACCAAC
rnacentral:lncRNA from 1 species